CUUCUCCAGCGAAGAUAGGUAUGGCUAAAGUUAGGGUUCAUUGGAACACAAUGUCUAAAUACUCAUCUCGUGUCGAUCUGGGUCAUCCGUUCGGGGAUACGUGAUCCUCUCUCGUCUAUCAGAUCUAUCUUAUUCAAGAAAUGAAUAUGGGCCACACAAUUGGAUGGAAUUUGAUCGUUUGAUCGCGCCUAAAGAGAGAACGCAUCUGGGCCAUUC
rnacentral:lncRNA from 1 species